AUUUGAAACUACCUUUCUGGAGCCUGAGCAACACCAGUUACAGCAUCAGGGCCCCGAAGACAAAGAAGUUUGGAGUCAAACUCCCAGCUUUGCUACUUGUAGCUCUAUAUAAAAGUAUUACAGAUACAUCUGAGGAUGUUCAGGGUGAUGAAGGGAAAAAUCACGGCAGUUUUGAAAAUGGCUGACUAAUAACUCCUCACCAUAUUCAAACUCAACUCAAGACCCCAGCACAUCUACCCAGGGAUGCUACUGAG
rnacentral:lncRNA from 1 species